rnacentral:ncRNA from 1 species
AAAAAGUCUGUGAAGAGAAGAGUAAUCUUUAUGAUUUCUUAAGCGAGUAAGGGAUGGUGUAAGCCUUAUAGAAUAGUUUAGAUGAAGAGAGCCUCUGAGAUUGCAUUUUAAUAACUAGUAUUUUUAUUAAAAUGUCGCUUAUGCGUUAAAUUAUAAAGUGGGUUUUUAACCAAUUAGAGUGGUACCGCGGAUAUAUCCGUCUCUUUG